CAAGGCAUCAUAGGAAGAGGGCAGUUACUAUACAUAAUAGCUGCUGAGGUAGUGGGAGACCUAUCAAAAAUGAAUUGCCUAAAACUUUAGUGGCUUAAAGCGGCAAGCUUAUUUGUUCGAUCACAGUUUCUGGAGGUCAGAAAUCUGAAUGUGGUUUAGCUGUGCCGUUCUGGUUUACACCAGUUUCCAGGAGGCUGUGGAUGAAAUGGCAGGAGGGACUGUAGGAAGCUAGAGGACCCAGCCCCAGGCUCCCUCAUCUGCUUAGUUCCCUUAAUUCCUUGCUGGCUUUGGCGAGACCCUCAAGCCAGUUCCUCACAGACUGGGGCUCUUCUCAUGCCAUGGUGGCCCAGGAUUUGGAAGUUCCACACAAUCUCGCCAAUCAAUAUUGUAUGGGCCACACACACAGUGGGAGAAGGGACCGCACAAGGUCAGUGUCAGGAAGCCAGGAUCACUGGGGACCCUCUUGGAAGCUGACUGUCUUAGGAAAUAAGGAAGAAUAUAGACUCAAAUUUCACAAGACCUAGAUCUGCUACUUCUUUGCCCGGCUACCAUGAUGCCCCCGUGGAAGUGUUCCAUCUGCUUGGCCUCGAAGUUCAGCCUCAGCAUCUCUCUCCUAGCCAGAGGCGCUUUGUCUCCUGGUGAAGCUCAUCAUUUUCACUCUGGCUUCUGCCAGCCCCAGAUGCCGCCAACUCCAGCUACACUCUGACUUUGACUCCCUGCCUUCUACAAAGAUUCCUCCCCAGGUAACACUGUGGUAGAUAUUCAUCAGAUGAGGAAAGAGGGCUCUGACCUUCUGAAUCCAUAACUUGCCCUAAUUUGUACUAUAUUGCUUAUUCACGCAUUCAUUAAAUAUUUAUGGAAGGCCAUUUGCCUGAUUCAGCUUCUUCCCCUCUGAAUACCUUGAACAACCCCACUCUAGGACCACUGUUUUUGCAGUCACCAGACAUGUUGCCAUGCAACUUCCAGCUUCAUGUCACCUACAGUUGAGGUUAUGCCUGAUAAACACAUAUGCAAAGCAGCACUUCCCAUACCUGCUCCCUCGGUCCCUCCUUGCUGACCUGACAUCUCUGUCCCUUCAGUGAGAGAAAGCUGAGAGCAACCCUCUCACCCUUUGUGUCUCUGCCACACUAUGCUUU
ensembl:lncRNA